AAGGCAUUUAACUAGAAGCUUAAUAGGACGACUUCUUUGUCAUCUACAAAUUUGCAAUGGCAACAGCAAGUGCAAGUGGAUUUGCUAGUUUUGUCAGUGAAAAACGAACAGAAGCUAAUUUUGAAAAGUGGAAGGAAUGCUUGAAACACUACUUGAUUGGUCAAGACUUAGGGAGUGUAGUGUUUGGAGAGGAAGAAAAACCCCAAGAAAAUGAUUCCAACUACAAGGAUUGGGUCAUGAAGAAUUCUAUGGCUUUACAUGCCAUUGAAACAUCUUGUGGGGCAGAUACCAUUUCAAAUUUGAUGAGGAAGUACCCAGAUGAAGUUGAUUCUGCCAAAUUUGUUU
rnacentral:misc_RNA from 1 species